rnacentral:rRNA from 1 species
UGGGAAUUUUGGACGAAUUGGGCGAAAGCCUGAUCCAGCAAUGCCGCGUGUGUGAAGAAGGCCUUCGGGUUGUAAAGCACUUUUGUCCGGAAAGAAAUCCUUGGCUCUAAUACAGUCGGGGGAUGACGGUACCGGAAGAAUAAGCACCGGCUAACUACGUGCCAGCAGCCGCGGUAAUACGUAGGGUGCAAGCGUUAAUCGGAAUUACUGGGCGUAAAGCGUGCGCAGGCGGUUUGCUAAGACCGAUGUGAAAUCCCCGGGCUCAACCUGGGAACUGCAUUGGUGACUGGCAGGCUAGAGUAUGGCAGAGGGGGGUAGAAUUCCACGUGUAGCAGUGAAAUGCGUAGAGAUGUGGAGGAAUACCGAUGGCGAAGGCG